CAGCCGUAAACUAUGCGCGUUAGGUGUAUCGGUGACCACGAGUUACCGAGGUGCCGAAGGGAAACCGUGAAACGUGCCGCCUGGGAAGUACGGUCGCAAGGCUGAAACUUAAAGGAAUUGGCGGGGGAGCACCACAACAGGUGGAGCCUGCGGUUUAAUUGGACUCAACGCCGGGAAGCUCACCGGGUAGGACAGCAGAAUGAUUGCCGGGCUGAAGACUCUACUUGAUGAUCUGAGAGGUGGUGCAUGGCGUCAGUGACU
rnacentral:rRNA from 1 species